GACGGGGAGCACCACAACGGGUGGAGCUUGCGGUUUAAUUGGAUUCAACGCCGGAAAUCUUACCGGGACCGACAGCAAUAUGAAGGCCAGGCUGAAGACUUUGCCGGAUUAGCUGAGAGGUGGUGCAUGGCCGUCGUCAGUUCGUACUGUGAAGCAUCCUGUUAAGUCAGGCAACGAGCGAGACCCACGCCCACAGUUGCCAGCGUACUCUCUGGAGUGACGGGUACACUGUGGGAACCGCCGCUGCUAAAGCGGAGGAAGGAAUGGGCAACGGUAGGUCAGUAUGCCCCGAAUAUCCCGGGCUACACGCGAGCUACAAUGGUUGGUACAAUGGGUAUCUACCCCGAAAGGGGACGGGAAUCUCCUAAAACCAAUCUUAGUUCGGAUUGAGGGCUGCAACUCGCCCUCAUGAAGCUGGAAUCCGUAGUAAUCGCGUUUCAACAGAACGCGGUGAAUACGUCCCUGCUCCUU
rnacentral:rRNA from 1 species